UAAAACCAGCACCUCAAGUGGUCAGGAGGAUUAUUGGGCCUAAAGCAUCCGUAGCCUGCUCUGUAAGUUUCCGGUUAAAUCCAUUAGCUUAACUGAUGGGCCGCCGGAAAAACUGCAGAGCUAGGGAGUGGGAGAGGUAGACGGUACUCGGUAGGAAGGGGUAAAAUCCUUUGAUCUAUUGAUGACCACCAGUGGCGAAGGCGGUCUACCAGAACACGUUCGACGGUGAGGGAUGAAAGCUGGGGGAGCAAACCGGAUUAGAUACCCGGGUAGUCCCAGCUGUAAACGAUGCAGACUCGGUGAUGCCCUGGCUUGUGGCCAGUGCAGUGCCGCAGGGAAGCCGUUAAGUUUGCCGCCUGGGAAGUACGUACGCAAGUAUG
rnacentral:rRNA from 1 species